rnacentral:rRNA from 1 species
GACGAACGCUGGCGGCGUGCCUAAUACAUGCAAGUUGAGCGCUGAAGGUUGGUACUUGUACCGACUGGAUGAGCAGCGAACGGGUGAGUAACGCGUGGGGAAUCUGCCUUUGAGCGGGGGACAACAUUUGGAAACGAAUGCUAAUACCGCAUAAAAACUUUAAACACAAGUUUUAAGUUUGAAAGAUGCAAUUGCAUCACUCAAAGAUGAUCCCGCGGUGUAUUAGCUAGUUGGUGAGGUAAAGGCUCACCAAGGCGAUGAUACAUAGCCGACCUGAGAGGGUGAUCGGCCACAUUGGGACUGAGACACGGCCCAAACUCCUACGGGAGGCAGCAGUAGGGAAUCUUCGGCAAUGGACGAAAGUCUGACCGAGCAACGCCGCGUGAGUGAAGAAGGGUUUCGGAUCGUAAAACUCUGUUGGUAGAGAAGAACGUUGGUGAGAGUGGAAAGCUCAUCAAGUGACGGUAACUACCCAGAAAGGGACGGCUAACUACGUG